GUAGUAUCAGAUUUGUGUUGGCAGAGAUGGGAAGGCGUCCUGACAAGGAGAAAAGGGAAGAAACCCAACUCCGAUGGGGGGACUGUGUGGGGCAGGGGUGGCCAGUGGAGGAGGGAGAGGACCAGGGAAUGGGGAGACAAGCUCCAGCAGACUCCUCCCAGAUGUCCUUCUCAUGCGUGUCAGCAGCAGCAGAAGUCAAGGAGUCACUCUCUACCCUGGACUGUGGGACCAUCUGAACCAGAAGUCAGCUAGAAGAACGUGUGAAGAAGCUGCAAAGGUUGGAAAAAGAAAGAUUCCAGAAGACUGAAGAAGAUAAAACAUGGAAUCAUAAAAUUUUAAAGUACAAAUGAAUCUCAGAGAAGAUCAUGUCCACACACUUGAUCUCUUUAAGGAAACAGGCAGAGAGGUGAUGAGCUUUGCCUACAGUGAACCUGAAUCUGCAGGACCUCCUUGGGCUUAUGGAUUAGACUCCACCCUCGCCUCCUUCUCCAGUCCCCAGCCCUUCUGGUCUCUUAAUACCAAGUCUAUUAGAUGGAAGUUUCCCCGACCAGGGAUUGAACCCACACCCCCUGCAUUGGAAGUGCUGAGUCUUAACCACUGAACUGCCAGGAAAGUCCCCUACUGAGCAAAAAUCUUGGUCCAUGAAGGUCAGCAGUGAUGGGAGACAUCUUGGUGAAGCUUCUCCUUCCUCCUUUCAUCCCAAGAUCUCCUUUCCUGAAUUUCCCAUUAAUCUCCACUACCACUAUGGAGCUGGUCUUUGGGGGCCCACAGUGCCCUGCAGUGUCCCACACGUGUGGAGAAAAGCGUCCCUUACCUGCCAUGAGCUGAGCUGAAAAUGGCUGUCAGUGUUAUUGGGACCCCACGAAGGGAUCGGAUAAGAUGAUGGCAGAGGCGGCCCCCUCCUGAGCCCCCCACAGGAUGUUCUCCUGUCCA
ensembl:lncRNA